rnacentral:misc_RNA from 1 species
CAUCCUUCUUAGGGACUGGUACAAUGUUGGCAACCCAUUCCGGGUACCGAGCGACAGCCAAAAACCCAGCGUCAAAUUGUUUCUUUACCUCUUCUUUUAUCUUCAAGGAUGUCUCGGGCUUCAUCCUUCUCAGUUUCUGCUUUACCGGGGGACACUCGGGAUUUAGGGGUAAUCGGUGUUGUACAAUGUCAGAACUCAAACCGGGCAUAUCUUGGUAGGACCAAGCAAAGAUGUCUUGGUAAUCUCUUAGCAGGGUUGUUAAUUCUUCACGGAUGGGCGUGGUCAUACCCGUUCCUAUCUUUACUUCCCUUUUUCCACUACCAGUUCCCAAGUCUACUAGUUCUGUCUCUUCUUGAUGAGGCCCCAUUUCUUGGUCCUC